CUCGCAGGCCAGCCAGAACUCAAUGUUCUCUUCGCAGAACUCAGACUUCAGAAAGGCUCGGAAAGCAGCAAGACCAUCUAGGGAAAGGAGGGGAAAAAAAUGCAUCAACUACACAGUCCUCACAGUCCCAGUGCUGUGUGUGUGAGAUGGAAGCACCAGCACAGGAGCUGGGUGAGGAACGCCACCGCGCCACUUGGGACAACAUUGGCUGGGCCUCUGCUCUCACCUCGCCUCGAUACUGUGCCUUCUCUGAAGCACCCGGGAUUGAUAUGUGUGUCUGUGAAGAGCCCAGAGGUGCCUGGCUACAGGUGAAAGCACGUACUUCCACGCUGAACUUUGGUCAGUAAUGGCAAUCAUGCGUGGCACGGUAGGGUGCUGUUUUCUAGAUGGAUAUUACAAUUGUCAGUCUUUUGAUAUUUUUGUGUAAGAGGAGUUGUUUACUCCUCCUAGAAGCGUUAGUCUGCUUCUAAUUCCCUCGUUUGCGUUCUGACUUUCUAGUCCCGUUUACAGCUUCAGUGGUAUGUAGCAUGAGGGCGUGUUGGUUUUCUAGUUGUUUUUGUUGCCGUUUUCUAUAAAUUGCUUGAAGCUUGUUGAGGUCAGCUUGUUGCACUCACUGACUCGGGCACUGCUCUCCCUGGGCAGCUCUUCUUCACCCAGCACUAUUUUCCAGUCGUAAAACUGCAAACCUGCAAAUAAUAAGGAGCCAUUUCUGGAUCUAAAUUUAGCACUACUGUGGCUUAACACUAAGACUGGAGCAAUUAAAUGUUCAGUCUUUGCUAAACAAAAAA